UAACUAAACUAGUCUUAGCCGACUAAUGACAAUGACCCAGAAGAUACAUUUCUCCGCAAAACUCCAAACAAGAAACCUCUAAUUUCAAAUCCUGCAGAAAAAUCUUGUUUAGUUUCAGAAUGGAAAGGAAGAGUACAAAUAGGUGAAUCCAACAGGACUUACACUCUCCUGUCUUUGGUAGGCAUAGGUAAUAUGUUGUUUGUUGGUUUCUUUUUGUGGGUGUCUUUCUCUAUCUUUUAAUUGCUUGUAAUCCCCGUCCAAGACGAAUUUAGUGAAUAAACAAACGGGUUUUUUGGGAGUUU
rnacentral:misc_RNA from 1 species